rnacentral:rRNA from 1 species
AGACGCUGGCGGCGUGCCUAAUACAUGCAAGUCGAACGGUCUUUCUAUGGAAGCUUGCUUCCACUGAGAAGAUAGUGGCGAACGGGUGAGUAACACGUGGGUAACCUGCCCAUAAGGAGGGGGAUAACAUCCGGAAACGGGUGCUAAUACCGCAUAGUUUUCUUGAUCGCAUGAUCGGGAAAGGAAAGACGGCCUUUGUGCUGUCGCUUAUGGAUGGACCCGCGGCGUAUUAGUUAGUUGGUGAGGUAACGGCUCACCAAGACGAUGAUACGUAGCCGACCUGAGAGGGUGAUCGGCCACAUUGGGACUGAGACACGGCCCAAACUCCUACGGGAGGCAGCAGUAGGGAAUCUUCCGCAAUGGACGAAAGUCUGACGGAGCAACGCCGCGUGAGUGAAGAAAAGGUUUUCGGAUCGUAAAACUCUGUUGUCAGAGAAGAACAAGUUGGAGAGUAACUGCUCCAGCCUUGACGGUAUCUGACCAGAAAGCCACGGCUAACUACGUGCCAGCAGCCGC